rnacentral:tRNA from 1 species
GCGCCGGUGGUGUAAGGCGAACAUCGCUGCCCGGAAAGCAGGAGAUGCGGGUUCGAGUUCCGCCUGGUGCA